CCAGUCCCAGUUUCUUGUGCCACCUUAAGUUCAGAGAUACAGAAGAAAUCAUACCUGCAAAAUGCAAAUAAAGAGGGGGAUGUGAUGGACUACAGGGCAUAGGUAGCUGCUCAACAGUAUAAACAAUAAGGAAGAAGAGCUUAUGAGAGCAACACUGGAAGGGGUGCUUUAGGAGUGCAAGGAAAUGCAGCUACAAACUCACUGAGCUAUCAGUGCUGUCUGCAUGCUUCUAUGGUGAGUGUUAUUUUGAGGAGGUGAGGAAUGCAAGGCAGGGGGUCUGUGGUCUAUGGUUUGUUUUCCCAUCAAUACAUAUGUCUGACUUCGAGUAAAAGAUUAACGAGACAGCUAGCAAAUGUCCUAGGAGACAAAUGGGUAAAAGGCUGUUUGUACAUGUCAGUUGAGGGAGGACUCAUUCUCAUCUCUCAGUCUCUGAAUGAAUCUGCUAGGAUGCACACCUGCACCAGGAAGACUUCCUUGACAAGGGAGGAAUGCUGA
rnacentral:lncRNA from 1 species